rnacentral:rRNA from 1 species
AUUGAACGCUGGCGGCAGGCCUAACACAUGCAAGUCGAGCGGAUGAAGGGAGCUUGCUCCUGGAUUCAGCGGCGGACGGGUGAGUAAUGCCUAGGAAUCUGCCUGGUAGUGGGGGAUAACGUCCGGAAACGGGCGCUAAUACCGCAUACGUCCUGAGGGAGAAAGUGGGGGAUCUUCGGACCUCACGCUAUCAGAUGAGCCUAGGUCGGAUUAGCUAGUUGGUGGGGUAAAGGCCUACCAAGGCGACGAUCCGUAACUGGUCUGAGAGGAUGAUCAGUCACACUGGAACUGAGACACGGUCCAGACUCCUACGGGAGGCAGCAGUGGGGAAUAGUGGACAAUGGGCGAAAGCCUGAUCCAGCCAUGCCGAGUGUGUGAAGAAGGUCUUCGGAUUGUAAAGCACUUUAAGUGGGGAGGAAGGGCAGUAAGUUAAUACCUUGCUGUUUUGACGUUACCAACAGAAUAAGCACCGGCUAACUUCGUG